CUUACGUGUCACUCUCCCACUGAACCUCACAUUUAUGACUCUCUCUCUCUCUCUCUCUCUCUCUCUCUCUUUCGACGGCUUCGUCGAAGUUCUUUGUCGAAAUCAGUUUGGAUUCCUCCUCCAAUGUCGAUCUAUCCAUCUUCUCUCUCGAUUCUCUCUUGAGAUCACUCCAUCUUCGAUUGUAAAAGACCAAAGGCAAAUCCAAUCGACAUCACUCCAUGUUCUCUGUCUGGAUUCAAAGACGGUUCUGUUUUCUUUCAUCGAAGAGCUUCACCGAAGAUGGAUUCAAGGAGGAAGCAGAUGAUCUUAUCAAGUCUCUGUAUUGUCUUUUGAAAUUAGACGAAGGAGUUGGAGUUCGUAUAGUGAAUUGCUCAAGCUUAGUGGAUCAGUCGAAGCUUGUUUCUGGGACCAUAGUUACUCUUCAGAGAACAACGUUUACUAUAAUCAGAAUCCUCCCUCCUAAGUGACACUUAUGACCAGGCAAGAAGCUUACCAACGGAUAAGCUGCGGAUAACCUAUAUAUCAGUCAAUGUGGCUGUUUAUUUGGCUCAGGUUGUUAUAUGGGUAUUCAUCUGGGUAAAUGAUAACAGCACUGUGGAGUUAGUUGGAAAGAUAUUUAUGUCAGUUGUGUCUUUCAUCGCUGCGUUAGGCUUCUUGCUGUACGGAGGAAGAUUGUUUAUUAUGCUAAUAAGGUUCCCUAUUGAGUCAAAAGGAAGAAGGAAGAAGCUCCAUGAGGUUGGAUCUGUGACAGCCAUAUGCUUCACCUGCUUCCUCAUAAGAUGCAUUGUGGUGGGUGUAUCAGCUUUUGACAGGGAUUUCAACUCUCUCUCUUUAUCAUGAACUCUAUUCUUAAAGCAGAACGGGAGUCACAGGUUUGUCUCUGACUUCUAAAUUUGCUCAGCCACUUGUAUAUAUGUGAAUAUUCUCAUGAGUUGAAUGCUUUUUAUUUUUGUUUUUGCA